rnacentral:rRNA from 1 species
GACGUACGCUGGCGGCGUGCUUAACACAUGCAAGUCGAACGGAAAGGCCCUGCUUUUGUGGGGUGCUCGAGUGGCGAACGGGUGAGUAACACGUGAGUAACCUGCCCUUGACUUUGGGAUAACUUCAGGAAACUGGGGCUAAUACCGGAUAGGAGCUCCUGCUGCAUGGUGGGGGUUGGAAAGUUUCGGCGGUUGGGGAUGGACUCGCGGCUUAUCAGCUUGUUGGUGGGGUAGUGGCUUACCAAGGCUUUGACGGGUAGCCGGCCUGAGAGGGUGACCGGCCACAUUGGGACUGGAAUACGGCCCAGACUCCUACGGGAGGCAGCAGUGGGGAAUAUUGCACAAUGGGCGGAAGCCUGAUGCAGCAACGCCGCGUGCGGGAUGACGGCCUUCGGGUUGUAAACCGCUUUCGCCUGUGACGAAGCGUGAGUGACGGUAAUGGGUAAAGAAGCACCGGCUAACUACGUG